AACUCAUUGCUGGUUGACAGUGGAAAUGGACUUUCAGAGGUACCAAUUGAUCAUCGGCAGUCCUUCCAGUUGCUACCAGGUAGAAUUCAAAUACAGUUAAUUGUGGAUGUUCCUCAGGAUACUGAGCUAGUACAACCACUGGAUGAAACCUGUAUCUGGCGGCAAGCAAGAGGAGCAGCUACUGAAGUCUCAUUAA